AGAGCAAUAGCUUAAGUAGGUUAGAGCGUUCUGAAUUGAUUUCAGAAAGGUGCAGGUUCGAAUCCUGCUUGUUUUA
rnacentral:tRNA from 1 species